AUGGCCAGAUCCAGCUCGCCACCUGUUUCUCUGCUGUUCCCAAGGAAGUACGGGACGGAAAUUAAAGAAGAAAGUGGUUCCACAGGUUUGGUGGCUACAAAAAGAUUUCCUCGAUAAACACUGCCCACAGUCACUCAUUUGUGAAAGCUGCAUGAUGUGAAAUUAAACUCGGGCAGAGGUGCUGUGGGUGAUGAUGUCUCGGUGGCUUGGGGAAAUGAAAGCCAUUCAUCUC
rnacentral:lncRNA from 10 species